GAUGAAGAACGCAGCGAAACGCGAUAAGUAAUGUGAAUUGCAGAAUUCAGUGAAUCAUCGAAUCUUUGAACGCACAUUGCGCCCGCCAGCACUCUGGCGGGCAUGCCUGUUCGAGCGUCAUUUCAACCAUCAAGCCCCCAGGGGCUUGUGCUGGGGCCCUGCGGCUGCCCGCAGGCCCUGAAAACCAGUGGCGGGCUCGCUAGUCACACCGAGCGCAGUAGCACAUCUCGCUCAGGGCGUGCGGCGGGCUCCUGCCGUGAAACCCCCCACUGUAACCCCAAAGGUUGACCUCGGAUCAGGUAGGAAUACCCGCUGAACUUAAGCAUAUCAAUAAGCGGAGGA
rnacentral:misc_RNA from 1 species